rnacentral:rRNA from 1 species
GAUGAACGCUGACAGAAUGCUUAACACAUGCAAGUCGACUGUGGCUGACGUGUGAGUCACGCGGAAAGAACUUGCCUCACAGAUAGGGUCAUCAUUUGGAAACGAAUGCUAAUACCGGAUACUGUGAGAGAGGUUUGCGUCCCAUUAGCUAGUUGGAGAGGUAACGGAUCAGGAGGGCGAUGAUGGGUAGCCGGCCUGAGAGGGUGAUCGGCCACAAGGGGACAGGGACACUGCCCUUAGGCAAUAGGGGAGAAUGAGUGGGGAAUUGUGGAAAAUGGGCCAAAGUCUGAAGAAGCAAUUCGGUGUGUACGAUGAAGUUGUCGGGAUGUAAAGUGCUUUCAGUUGAGAAGCUGUACCAACAGAAGAAGCAACGGCUAAAUACGUGCCAGCAGCCGCGGUAAUUC